GGAGAAUUGGAUAAUCUCCAAGCUUGUUUACCAAGCAUUGCACGAUUAAAGAUAAGCAAAUCUUUAAACCCCAUCCCUCCUUCAUCCUUUCGGGUUUUCAAAACUUCCCAGUUUUUCCAAUGCGUCCCUCGCUGAGCAUCUCCUUUUUGCCACCAAAAUGAUGCUAUGCGUCUUUCUAUUGCACGACAGAUGGACACGGGUAACUUGAAUAUGGACAUUGCAUAAGUUGGUAUGGCCUGCACCACACUUUUGAUCAAAACCUCCUUCCCCGCUUUGGAACUCUCAGGGCUUGGGCCAUGUUUCUUCUUAAUGGAUUUUUUACUUUGGGAAUCAAGGAAAUAUGCGUUUGAUUAAUGAGAGGAUCCAGAGUACCGUGUUGAAAAAGUUUUGCAC